UGUCCAUCUUGAGCAUCACGCAACAAUUCGCCCGUUCCGGCGUGAGGCUGCGAAUAGCGAAUGCACCUGCCAAUAGUUCCAGGCAGUUGAUAUGGAGUGUUCGCUCCUGAUUCGACCAUCUGCCUUCGGUAGAUGCGGCACCACAACGCGCGCCCCAGCCGUGUAAGCUGGCAUCUGACUCUAUCACGAUGUCCGGGACAGAACCGAAUAUGGCUCUCCCGUUCCAGGCGUCCAUGUGGGCCAGCCACCAGGUCAGCUCGUCUCUGGACUCGCCGUCGAGUCUCACUCUCUGUUCGUAAGAGUGGCCGGCACGUAGGUGAGAGCCUUUUAAGCGUCGAAGGGCCCGGUAAUGGAGGGGGCCAGGGAAAAUUGCUUGUAUUGAGGCGGCCAAGAGGCCGAUCACCCUCGCCAGAUGUCGGAUAGAGAUGUCGUCUGCACGUAGUGUACGUCUGAUUUCCUUCUUGAUCGCCUUCGUCUUGGACUCCGGAAGGAACAGGAAUUGUUGGACGGAGUCCACUGUAAACCCCAGAAAUUCCAGCGAUUGGGUGGGGUCUAAUACCGACUUCUCCCAAUUGAUGAGAAAACCUAGGUUCUGGAGUAAGGACGUAGUCCAUGAUACAUGAAUCGUCAGUAAUUCUCUUGACUUGGCCAUCAGCAAGAUGUUGUCCAAAUAGAUGAUCAGACGUACUCCGCGACUCCGAAGGAAGGAUACCACAGGUUUCAUGACCUUGGUGAAGCACCAGGGGGCCGAGGAGAGACCGAAUGGCAGACAGGUAAACUUCCAGCGCUUUGCCUUCCAGGUGAAAUGGAGGAAAUCUCUGUGGGCCGAGGUUAUAGGCACCGUAAAAUAGGCGUCCUUGAGGUCUAGUUUGGCCAACCAGUCGGACUCCUGAAGGAGGUCUCGAAGGCAAUGGAUGCCCUCCAUCUGGAAAUGGCGAUACUGGAGAAAAGCAUUGAGGGGGCGGAGGUUGAUGACCGGACGCACACCCCCGCCUUUCUUCGGGACUAGAAACAGGUUGCUUGUAAAGCCCUGUUGAGUAAACGGGACCUCUUGUAUUGCACCUUUGGUGCGUAGUUCCACGAUCUCCGAAGAGAUCAAUUCUUCCUGCUCUCGAGCUAGCGAGAGUUCCCUGGGGACAAAAGUUUGAACAGGAAAAGACACAAAAUCUAUGUGGUAACCCUUCACUGUUUGAAGAACCCAAGCAUCUGCCGUCAGGGCCACCCAUGCCUCGGAAAACUGGGCCAAUCUGCCCGCCACCCGCUCUCGUGUAUGAUGGACAAAAGGGGUACUCACCAUAAGGGCGUCUGCCUGAUGAGGCACCUCUCGGGUAGCGGGGAUUCCAGGACCUCCCUCUGGAUGGGAAGAACGGAGCCGGUCUGGGCUCUUGGAAGUUUCUGGUAGGGAAAAAGGAGCCUCGC